rnacentral:rRNA from 1 species
CCUACGGGCGGCAGCAGUGGGGAAUAUUGGACAAUGGGCGAAAGCCUGAUCCAGCCAUGCCGCGUGUGUGAAGAAGGCCUUCGGGUUGUAAAGCACUUUCAGUGGGGAAGAAAGCCUUGGGGCUAAUACCCUCGAGGAAGGACAUCACCCACAGAAGAAGCACCGGCUAACUCCGUGCCAGCAGCCGCGGUAAUACGGAGGGGUGCGAGCGUUAAUCGGAAUUACUGGGCGUAAAGCGCGCGUAGGCGGUCUGAUAAGCCGGUUGUGAAAGCCCCGGGCUCAACCUGGGAACGGCAUCCGGAACUGUCAGGCUAGAGUGCAGGAGAGGAAGGUAGAAUUCCCGGUGUAGCGGUGAAAUGCGUAGAGAUCGGGAGGAAUACCAGUGGCGAAGGCGGCCUUCUGGACUGACACUGACGCUGAGGUGCGAAAGCGUGGGUAGCAAACAGGAUUAGAUACCCUUGUAGUC